GGUUUGACCUCGGAUCAGGUAGGGAUACCCGCUGAACUUAAGCAUAUCAAUAAGCGGAGGAAAAGAAACCAACAGGGAUUGCCUCAGUAACGGCGAGUGAAGCGGCAACAGCUCAAAUUUGAAAUCUGGCUCUUUCAGGGUCCGAGUUGUAAUUUGUAGAAGAUGYUUCGGGUGUGGCUCCGGUCUAAGUUCCUUGGAACAGGACGUCAUAGAGGGUGAGAAUCCCGUAUGUGACUGGYWGCCUCYGCUCAUGUGAAACUCUUUCGACGAGUCGAGUUGUUUGGGAAUGCAGCUCAAAAUGGGUGGUAAAUUUCAUCUAAAGCUAAAUAUUGGCCAGAGACCGAUAGCGCACAAGUAGAGUGAUCGAAAGAUGAAAAGCACUUUGGAAAGAGAGUUAAACAGUACGUGAAAUUGUUGAAAGGGAAGCGCUUGCAACCAGACUUGCA
rnacentral:rRNA from 1 species